rnacentral:rRNA from 1 species
UACGUAGGGGGCAAGCGUUGUCCGGAUUUAUUGGGCGUAAAGGGCGCGUAGGCGGCCCGCACAAGUCUGCGGUGAAAACCCCCGGCUUAACCGGAGGCCGGCCGUGGAAACUGUCGGGCUGGAGGCUGGGAGAGGGCAGCGGAAUUCCCGGUGUAGCGGUGAAAUGCGUAGAGAUCGGGAGGAACACCGGCGGCGAAGGCGGCUGCCUGGACCAGUCCUGACGCUGAGGCGCGAAAGCUAGGGGAGCAAACAGG